UGUGAACUCGAAGAGUAGGGCGGGACACGUGGUAUCCUGUCUGAAUAUGGGGGGACCAUCCUCCAAGGCUAAAUACUCCUGACUGACCGAUAGUGAACCAGUACCGUGAGGGAAAGGCGAAAAGAACCCCGGCGAGGGGAGUGAAAAAGAACCUGAAACCGUGUACGUACAAGCAGUGGGAGCACCUUCGGGUGUGACUGCGUACCUUUUGUAUAAUGGGUCAGCGACUUAUAUUCUGUAGCAAGGUUAACCGUAUAGGGGAGCCGCAGGGAAACCGAGUCUUAACUGGGCGUUAAGUUGCAGGGUAUAGACCCGAAACCCGGUGAUCUAGCCAUGGGCAGGUUGAAGGUUGGGUAACACUAACUGGAGGACCGAACCGACUAAUGUUGAAAAAUUAGCGGAUGACUUGUGGCUGGGGGUGAAAGGCCAAUCAAACCGGGAGAUAGCUGGUUCUCCCCGAAAGCUAUUUAGGUAGCGCCUCGUGAAUUCAUCUUCGGGGGUAGAGCACUGUUUCGGCUAGGGGGUCAUCCCGACUUACCAACCCGAUGCAAACUACGAAUACCGAAGAAUGUUAUCACGGGAGACACACGGCGGGUGCUAACGUCCGUCGUGAAGAGGGAAACAACCCAGACCGCCAGCUAAGGUCCCAAAGUCAUGGUUAAGUGGGAAACGAUGUGGGAAGGCACAGACAGCCAGGAUGUUGGCUUAGAAGCAGCCAUCAUUUAAAGAAAGCGUAAUAGCUCACUGGUCGAGUCGGCCUGCGCGGAAGAUGUAACGGGGCUAAACCAUGCACCGAAGCUGCGGCAGCGACACUAUGUGUUGUUGGGUAGGGGAGCGUUCUGUAAGCCUGCGAAGGUGUGCUGUGAGGCAUGCUGGAGGUAUCAGAAGUGCGAAUGCUGACAUAAGUAACGAUAAAGCGGGUGAAAAGCCCGCUCGCCGGAAGACCAAGGGUUCCUGUCCAACGUUAAUCGGGGCAGGGUGAGUCGACCCCUAAGGC
rnacentral:rRNA from 1 species